GAUAUACUCUCUCCGUCCGGAAAUACUUGUCCUAGAAAUGGAUGUAUCUAGACUUAUUUUAAUUAUAGAUACAUCUAUUUUAUUUAUUUUUUAGGACAAGUAUUUUCGGACGGAGGGAGUACUUA
rfam:Hordeum vulgare subsp. vulgare, WGS project CAJW01000000 data, contig: morex_contig_38206